AAAUUGAAGAGUUUGAUCAUGGCUCAGAUUGAACGCUGGCGGCAGGCCUAACACAUGCAAGUCGAGCGGUAGCACAGAGAGCUUGCUCUCGGGUGACGAGCGGCGGACGGGUGAGUAAUGUCUGGGAAACUGCCUGAUGGAGGGGGAUAACUACUGGAAACGGUAGCUAAUACCGCAUAAUGUCGCAAGACCAAAGUGGGGACCUUCGGGCCUCAUGCCAUCAGAUGUGCCCAGAUGGGAUUAGCUAGUAGGUGGGGUAACGGCUCACCUAGGCGACGAUCCUAGCUGGUCUGAGAGGAUGACCAGCCACACUGGAACUGAGACACGGUCCAGACUCCUACGGGAGGCAGCAGUGGGGAAUAUUGCACAAUGGGCGCAAGCCUGAUGCAGCCAUGCCGCGUGUGUGAAGAAGGCCUUCGGGUUGUAAAGCACUUUCAGCGGGGAGGAAGGCGUUAAGGUUAAUAACCUUGGCGAUUGACGUUACCCGCAGAAGAAGCACCGGCUAACUCCGUGCCAGCAGCCGCGGUAAUACGGAGGGUGCAAGCGUUAAUCGGAAUUACUGGGCGUAAAGCGCACGCAGGCGGUCUGUCAAGUCGGAUGUGAAAUCCCCGGGCUCAACCUGGGAACUGCAUUCGAAACUGGCAGGCUAGAGUCUUGUAGAGGGGGUAGAAUUCCAGGUGUAGCGGUGAAAUGCGUAGAGAUCUGGAGGAAUACCGGUGGCGAAGGCGGCCCCCUGGACAAAGACUGACGCUCAGGUGCGAAAGCGUGGGGAGCAAACAGGAUUAGAUACCCUGGUAGUCCACGCCGUAAACGAUGUCGAUUUGGAGGUUGUGCCCUUGAGGCGUGGCUUCCGGAGCUAACGCGUUAAAUCGACCGCCUGGGGAGUACGGCCGCAAGGUUAAAACUCAAAUGAAUUGACGGGGGCCCGCACAAGCGGUGGAGCAUGUGGUUUAAUUCGAUGCAACGCGAAGAACCUUACCUGGUCUUGACAUCCACAGAACUUUCCAGAGAUGGAUUGGUGCCUUCGGGAACUGUGAGACAGGUGCUGCAUGGCUGUCGUCAGCUCGUGUUGUGAAAUGUUGGGUUAAGUCCCGCAACGAGCGCAACCCUUAUCCUUUGUUGCCAGCGGUUAGGCCGGGAACUCAAAGGAGACUGCCAGUGAUAAACUGGAGGAAGGUGGGGAUGACGUCAAGUCAUCAUGGCCCUUACGACCAGGGCUACACACGUGCUACAAUGGCAUAUACAAAGAGAAGCGACCUCGCGAGAGCAAGCGGACCUCAUAAAGUAUGUCGUAGUCCGGAUUGGAGUCUGCAACUCGACUCCAUGAAGUCGGAAUCGCUAGUAAUCGUAGAUCAGAAUGCUACGGUGAAUACGUUCCCGGGCCUUGUACACACCGCCCGUCACACCAUGGGAGUGGGUUGCAAAAGAAGUAGGUAGCUUAACCUUCGGGAGGGCGCUUACCACUUUGUGAUUCAUGACUGGGGUGAAGUCGUAACAAGGUAACCGUAGGGGAACCUGCGGUUGGAUCACCUCCUUACCUUAAAGAA
rnacentral:rRNA from 1 species